rnacentral:rRNA from 1 species
UAGGGAAUCUUCGGCAAUGGGGGGAACCCUGACCGAGCAACGCCGCGUGAGUGAAGAAGGUUUUCGGAUCGUAAAGCUCUGUUGUUAAGGAAGAACGAGUGUGAGAAUGGAAAGUUCAUACUGUGACGGUACUUAACCAGAAAGGGACGGCUAACUACGUGCCAGCAGCCGCGGUAAUACGUAGGUCCCGAGCGUUGUCCGGAUUUAUUGGGCGUAAAGCGAGCGCAGGCGGUUAGAUAAGUCUGAAGUUAAAGGCAGUGGCUCAACCAUUGUAGGCUUUGGAAACUGUUUAACUUGAGUGCAGAAGGGGAGAGUGGAAUUCCAUGUGUAGCGGUGAAAUGCGUAGAUAUAUGGAGGAACACCGGUGGCGAAAGCGGCUCUCUGGUCUGUAACUGACGCUGAGGCUCGAAAGCGUGGGGAGCGAACAGGAUUAGAUACCCUGGUAGUCCACGCCGUAAACGAUGAGUGCUAGGUGUUAGGUCCUUUCCGGGACUUAGUGCCGCAGCUAACGCAUUAGGCACUCCGCCUGGGGAGUACGACCGCAAGGUUG